rnacentral:rRNA from 1 species
GAUGAACGCUAGCGGCAGGCCUAACACAUGCCAGUCGAGGGAGAAGCCCUUUCGGGGGCAGAAACCGGCGCACGGGUGCGUAACGCGUAUGCAACCUACCUUUCACAGGGGGAUAGCCCGAAGAAAUUUGGAUUAAUACCCCAUAAUAUUAUUGGAUGGCAUCAUUUGAUAAUUAAAACUGCGGUGGUGAAAGAUGGGCAUGCGUCCUACUAGCUAGUUGGAGUGGUAACGGCACCCCAAGGCUACGAUAGGUAGGGGUCCUGAGAGGGAGAUCCCCCACACUGGUACUGAGACAGGGACCAGACUCCUACGGGAGGCAGCAGUGAGGAAUAUUGGUCAAUGGUCGGAAGACUGAACCAGCCAUGCCGCGUGCAGGAAGAAUGCCUUAUGGGUUGUAAACUGCUUUUAUAUGGGAAGAAUAAGGUGUACGUGUACAUUGAUGACGGUACCAUAUGAAUAAGCAGCGGCUAACUCCGUG